rnacentral:pre_miRNA from 1 species
CUUGUGAAGCCUUCUUCGGUUUGGCCGGCUGGCUCUUGAGUAACCACGUCCCCAGAUUCUGUGUCUGCUUUGGCUGUUGGUUCAUCACCACCAGUCGGUGUGGCUGUACCUGUUGAAGCUUCUGGGU